GCAGGCAGAGAGUUCUCCCAGAGGCUCUAGGUGGUACUGUCCAAAGCCAUCGGGCAGAAGCAGCUGGGACAGCAUCUCAAACUGGAACCCUGGGGCUCAUGGUCCAAUACCCAUCCCUUCAGGCAUGACUCUCCCUACAGGAGCAACGUAGACUCUACUGCAAUCUCAGUUACAUACUGCUUUUCCCUCUGCAGCUAUCUGCUGCCAGUUCCUCUGCAGGACUUUGAUUCUACAUGGCAGUAUCUUUUAACAUUAGAAUGACGACUUUUACAAAAGCUGAGACAAAUAUAAUUUCCCUUCAAAUCCUUGUGACACAUCACUGAGGACAGUAUCAAGUUUUAUCCUGCCUUGAGACUGCAGAACAGAGAAUAAUCUGAGGAAGAACAAUCUUAACUGAUAAUAUCACUCAAAACCACAUACUUGAGCCCUGGCAGGCAAGACUGCGGCUUCACCAUUCAAGCACAGACCUGUGCAGCUCACGCCCAGUGGCCAGAAGCAGCUCGCAGAAUGUUUUAUCCCACUCACAUUGGAGACACACAAACAGGUUGGUACAUUUUAAUGAGCUGCUGUGCAAAACGAGUUCCUAGUAAGCAACAUGGAGAACACUCUCAAAGCCACAGUUCCUCCACCUUCAUUCCUGCUGACAUGAACAGGCAGAGCUGCUGGCCCUGGGAAGGGAAGAGCUUGAUAGGAACCAGGAAAAGCUGAGCACCCUGGUUGGAGCCCAGCCUGGGAAGGCACAUGUUAAGAGCAAGAAGGCAGGAAUCUUGGGGAGCAUGGUGUAGGGGCUGCUCUGGGAAACUGAACAGAACAGAAAAUAAAAGGUUGGUAGAAGCCGGCAUGCCCCCCAUGCUUUUCACAGGGAAUAGG